rnacentral:rRNA from 1 species
UACGAGGGGGGCGAGCGUUGUUCGGAAUUAUUGGGCGUAAAGGGCGCGUAGGCGGUGCGGUAAGUCACCUGUGAAACCUCUGGGCUUAACUCAGAGCCUGCAGGCGAAACUGCCGUGCUGGAGUGUGGGAGAGGUGCGUGGAAUUCCCGGUGUAGCGGUGAAAUGCGUAGAUAUCGGGAAGAACACCCGUGGCUAAGGCGGCUCUCUAGUACGGUACUGACGCUGAGACGCGAAAGCGUGGGGAGCGAACAGG